rnacentral:rRNA from 1 species
UACAGAGGGGGCAAGCGUUGUUCGGAAUUACUGGGCGUAAAGGGCGCGUAGGCGGCCCGCUAAGUCGAACGUGAAAUCCCCGAGCUCAACUCGGGAACUGCGUCCGAUACUGGUGGGCUUGAAUCCGGGGAGAGGGAUGCGGAAUUCCAGGUGUAGCGGUGAAAUGCGUAGAUAUCUGGAGGAACACCGGUGGCGAAGGCGGCGAUCCUGGACCGGUAUUGACGCUGAGGCGCGAAAGCCAGGGGAGCAAACGGG